rnacentral:rRNA from 1 species
GGCCCUCCUCUAGCCCCUAUUUAUUUAUUAUUAAACCAUUUCAACCCCCUUAUUAAAUUAAAACAUUCUAACAAUUUAGUACAGGCGAUAAAAAAAUUUCUUGGAGCUUUAUAAACAGUACCGCAAGGGAAAGAUGAAAUAAAAAUGAAAUAAUUUACAACCACAAAAAAGUAGAGUUUCCCUCUCGUACCUUUUGCAUCAUGGUUUAACUAGUCUAACUAGGCAAAAAGACUUUUAGUCUAGCCUCCCGAACCUGGGCGAGCUACUUUAAGACAGCUUUAUGAGCUAACCCGUCUCUGUUGCAAAAGAGUGGGAAGAUCUUACAGUAGCGGUGACAGACCUAACGAGCCCAGUGAUAGCUGGUUGCUUUUUAAAAGGAUUUUAGUCCAGCUUAAAGUUACUACUAUGCACAGAGAUUUCUCACUUUAAAGUAAUUCAAAUAAGGUUCAGCCUAUUUGAAAAAGGAUACAACCUCAACCACCGGGUAACUACGUCACAAUAUGUUAAAGUAGGCUUAAAAGCAGCCAUCUUAAUUAAAAGCGUCAAAGCUUACACAUCUUAAGACACAAUACCUUAAACUCUUAAAAACCCUUCAUUUCUAAAAAGCAACUCUAUAUUCUUAUAGAAGAUUUUAUGUUAAAACUAGUAACAAGAAGCUAGCCCUUCUCUAAAAUGUAUUCUUAUGUCAGCAAGGACCGACCACUGAUAAUUAACGUCUUUAAUUUUAAAGUAUCAACCCCUCUAGAAAACUUUACUCCCACUUUCGUUAACCUAACACAAGAACAUUAUAAGAAAGAUUAAAAGAAAAAGAAGGAACUCGGCAAAUCUCAGCCUCGCCUGUUUACCAAAAACAUCGCCUCCUGUAAACCUCAUAGGAGGUCCAGCCUGCCCAGUGAUAAUAUUCAACGGCCGCGGUAUCCUAACCGUGCGAAGGUAGCGUAAUCACUUGUCCUUUAAAUGAGGACUGGUAUGAACGGCUUCACGAAGGCUACACUGUCUCCUUUUUCUAAUCAGUAAAACUAAUCUCCCCGUGAAGAAGCGGGGAUUUACCUAUAAGACGAGAAGACCCUAUGGAGCUUUAAACAAUUGUUUACACUUGCCUUCAAAUUUUUCAUGACAUUUAACCAAGCAUUAUGUUUCUAGUUUUAGGUUGGGGUGACCAUGGAGAAAAACUUAUCCUCCACAUUGAAAGAAAUUUUAUUUCUUAGCAAAAAGUUACAUCUUGAUGCACCAACAAAUUGACCUUAAUUGACCCAAUAAUUUGAUCAACGAACCAAGUUACCCUAGGGAUAACAGCGCAAUCCACUUUAAGAGCUCUUAUCGACAAGUGGGUUUACGACCUCGAUGUUGGAUCAGGGUAUCCUAGUGGUGCAGCCGCUACUAAAG